UGUGCGGAUAUGCAAAUGAGCUCGCUCCGUUGAUAUCGGUCCGAUUACAUCUGAUAUCGGUCCGUUCCCAUCGAAAGUUUUUGCACGAACUCCGCAAAAACUGCUACACCCCUUGAACUGAGCUUCGGUAGUUCGGUUCCUCUGGGGUUGCGAUUGUGUGGAAAGGUCUCGAAUCUUCGUUUGCUCGCUUCCCUCGCUCCGAAUUUGCGACGUGUCUUCUCUCAAUGGGCCUUGCUCAACGAGGCCAUUUUCUUUGCUAACGCUUCGCUCUCUUUGUUUGUCUUUUCAAAGACUUUUUCUAGCGCUUUCCUGGAUGUUUUGAAAACGUCGAUUGUCAUCCAGUCAGUAGUUGUUGAUUGAAAACCUUGACCUUUGAUUCUAAAGCGAAUAUCCCUUUUCAUCCCUAACUUUUUUGAAAGAGAUCGAGUACCUUUUCAAAGGAUUUUUCAAAACAUUUCCUCCCUCCCUUUGAUGGGUAAAAUACUGGCUUUUGCGUUCGCGUUUCUAAAGGUUCUUUCUCUCUCUUUUCUCUUGCUCUCUACAAAAAGUUUCAAAACUUCUUCCUCCAGCAACCCUUCAAUUUGAACGGAGGCUUUUCAAAUUCGUUUUGCUUUCCACAAAGAAGCUACUGUUUGCCGAUAAUUUCGGUGAUUUGGAAUUGGAUAAAUCUACGUGCACUGCUGCUUGGCAUUCCUUUUCGAACUCGAAGCGGUUGUCGACGGUCGUGUUCUGUGCUACAGUGCUACAGCUACAGCUACAGUAGCUACGCACACUGCUGCCCGUUUUUUGGUUUUGCAAUGGCUGCUGGCUGUUCCACUUCUUCACUGGUAUCAGAAUCGAUGGCAUGCGAGUACAAAUAAACGAUCGGAUUCGCUGACUUUUUGGUUCAACAAAUCAAAGAUCGUUUCAAGCAAUAAUUAUGACCCAGACGUGAUUCUUGACUGUGGAGAAAAGGACUAAAGUUAUAUAGAUUAGCUGUUGUCCGUAAAUUGUAUUUUGUUAAUUUGUUGUUGGAGUAAGAAUCAUUUCUGAUGCACGAAACUUUGGCUGUUUUCUAUCUUUCCAUUUCUUAAGUGCUUUGUUGCUGCAGUGUUUCAAAAGCUAAUUGUGACGAAGAUAUGAUAUGUGGACCUCAAAUGUAUAGAACU